GGCCCAGAUCGUUUACCGUGAAAAAAUUAGAGUGUUCAAAGCAGGCAGAUCCAAUUUUCUGCCACCGAAUACAUUAGCAUGGGAUAAUGGAAUAGGACCCUGUCCUCCUAUUUUCAGUUGGUUUUGGCAGCGCGAGGACUAGGGUAAUGAUUAAUAGGGAUAGUUGGGGGCAUUAAUAUUUAAUUGUCAGAGGUGAAAUUCUUGGAUUUAUGAAAGAUUAACUUCUGCGAAAGCAUCUGCCAAGGAUGUUUUCAUUAAUCAAGAACGAAAGUUAGGGGAUCGAAGACGAUCAGAUACCGUCGUAGUCUUAACCAUAAACGAUGCCGACCAGCGAUUAGGAGACGUUGAAUACAAAACACCACCAUCGGUGCGGUCAUCCUUGGCGUUGGUCUUCAAAAGCCAGCGCGGGGGUGGCUUAGCCCGGUGGCACCGGUGAAUGACUCCCCUAGCAGCUUGUGAGA
rnacentral:rRNA from 3 species